CAGCAGCCGCGGUAAUACGUAGGGUGCGAGCGUUAAUCGGAUUUACUGGGCGUAAAGCGUGCGCAGGCGGCCCGUUAAGACAGGUGUGAAAUCCCUGGGCUCAACCUAGGAAUUGCGCUUGUGACUGGCGGGCUCGAGUACGGUAGAGGGGGGUGGGAUUCCUGGUGUAGCAGUGAAAUGCGUAGAGAUCAGGAGGAACACCGAUGGCGAAGGCAGCCCCCUGGGCCUGUACUGACGCUCAUGCACGAAAGCGUGGGGAGCAAACAGGAUUAGAUACCCUGGUAGUCCACGCCCUAAACGAUGGGUACUAGCCGUUUGGUGCGCGAUAGCGCUGAGUGGCGAAGCUAACGCGUGAAGUACCCCGCCUGGGGAGUACGGCCGCAAGGUUGAAACUUAAAGGAAUUGGCGGG
rnacentral:rRNA from 1 species